GGGAUGUGGCUCAGUGGUAGAUUACUUGCCUAGCAUGCACAAAGUCCUGGGUUUGCAUCCCAGCACCCA
rnacentral:tRNA from 1 species